UACGGAGGGUGCAAGCGUUGUCCGGAUUUAUUGGGUUUAAAGGGUGCGUAGGCGGCCCUGUAAGUCAGUGCUGAAAUAUCCCGGCUUAACCGGGAGGGUGGCAUUGAUACUGCGGGGCUAGAGUACAGAUGAGGUAGGCGGAAUUGACGGUGUAGCGGUGAAAUGCUUAGAUAUCGUCAAGAACACCUAUAGCGAAGGCAGCUUACUAGGCUGUAACUGACGCUGAGGCACGAAAGUGUGGGGGAGUCAAACAGG
rnacentral:rRNA from 1 species